GGUGAAGUCCAGAGAGGCAGCAGGUCUCGUGGUCUUUCCUUCUCGUUUCUGACAGAGAAGAGCGGAGCUGGCCGGCUGGUGACGCAGGGACGAUUGCCGCCUGUGGCUCCCGGUGACAAUGAGUUAUCACGAGAAGCCACAUCCAGGAGCUUGAGCUGUGAAGUGAUGAGCAGAACCCUCAGCUGCCCUAUGUGUUUCUCCCUGUAGAUGAAGAUCAGCACAAUGAAGCUGGUUGGUGUCUCCAGCACCCAUCUUUGAAACUUUCACCGCACGCCACUGGGGCCGUGCAGAGGAGGAGCCAGCCCAGCGUCACUGUGUGCCUUCGUUACAAGCGCGUCGAUGUGAAGGUGCUGAGCGACAGGAGAAUUCCGUCCUCCUCCCGCGCGCGCCCGGGUGGGUGCAGGCGGCAAUCCUGCUGCUCCGAGGGAGGAACAUGCUCUGCCGGGCCCUGAAGCAUUUGCUCGCUUCUGAUUACUCUGAGCCAGGUAAUUCUGGAUCAUUGUGAUAAUGUGGAGUAAAUACUGAGGUCCUUUUAAUUCCCCAGCUCACUAAUAGAAGACACUGAUGCAUCGUUCUGAUCCUCUCCCGCUAUUAACCGGCAGGGUAAUCACAAGUGAAAGGGAAGUAUCUCUGUGUAGAUAACGCCUGGCUGUACAGCCCGUGCGCUGCCUGCCUGCGGUUUCUGUUGAAGAGUUUCCAGUGAUCUGGCACAUGAUGAACUGGAAUGAUUUCUGAUUUCACUCCUGACCCCCCUCAUCAUGCAUGCAUAAUUUAGCAAGAAUAAUGAGCCAGAUCAUCGUGUCUGCUGUGACACACCAGCUGAUGAAGUGGCCUAUCAUCUCUGCAGCUGAUAGUGCAUCCUGGUGCGAGCAGUGGUUUGAAUGUCUUGGCUUUUACGGAGAGAACGGUUUUUACUGAAACUUCUGAGUGGAUUUAUUUCUCUUUUCUCCUUGCAUUUGAUGUGAAUUUUAUGCUAAUGCAUUUCAACCCUCUUGAUGUUCCUGUCAAUAUUCCAACUUUCACGUCUUUGCCAGUGAGGAGCAAAUCAAUUAGGCUCCUAAAACUUCACAGGAGUGAUGGUUUCAAAGCAAUUGCUUGUAAACACAUUACUCAAGGAAGAUUAUUAGCAGAAUAUUCAUGGUAUAGGUUUAUCUUCCAGAAGGAAAAAAAUCAGGCUUAAAUAUCUCUGUGUGCUUUAUCUGCCGUACUUUCCCUUUUGGGGCUCUGUAACUACUAUAUGAGAGUCUAAUAUUAUAUAAAAUUCAUCUUGUUGAAGACAGACAUACAUGAAAUAUCUCCCUCAAUUCCGAAUUGUACUGGUUUGGGUUUUUUCCUGUUUUGUUAAACGGCAACUGUGGUAACAGUCUUUUCUGAGGAUGAGGUUUUAAUAGCAGUGUAUCUUAUACCAAUGUUUUCCUAAAAGCAUGAAGUGGAAUUUACACUUAAAUUAUCAUUUGAUUAAAAGUGGGAUUAUGUGAACUCAAGUAAUGAUCUUUCAGCGAGGAGAAUUUCUCUCUCAUCUCUCUGAGGGAAAGCUGGGAGGAACCCUCCUGGAAUAAACAGGGUCACAGUCUCAUUGUAAACCUCCCAUCAUUUUGAGAAGAACUCGGGAUGAUAUUUAUUGGAAAUACAGUGUUGAUACAUGCCUGUAAAGUUACAGUGCAUCCAUUGCCCUUCCUCACGGUGGGCUGCAAAAACCCCUUUAGACCUCUUUUUUGGUAA